rnacentral:tRNA from 1 species
GGGACUGUGGCUCAGUGGUGGAGCAUCUCCUUGGCAUGUAGGAAGUCCCAGAUUCAAUCCCUGGCAUCUCCA